AUUGAACGCUGGCGGCAGGCCUAACACAUGCAAGUCGAGCGGCAGCGGGAAAGUAGCUUGCUACUUUUGCCGGCGAGCGGCGGACGGGAGAGUAAUGCCUGGGAAAUUGCCCAGUCGAGGGGGAUAACAGUUGGAAACGACUGCUAAUACCGCAUACGCCCUACGGGGGAAAGCAGGGGACCUUCGGGCCUUGCGCGAUUGGAUAUGCCCAGGUGGGAUUAGCUAGUUGGUGAGGUAAUGGCUCACCAAGGCGACGAUCCCUAGCUGGUCUGAGAGGAUGAUCAGCCACACGGGAACUGAGACACGGUCCAGACUCCUACGGGAGGCAGCAGUGGGGAAUAUUGCACAAUGGGGGAAACCCUGAUGCAGCCAUGCCGCGUGUGUGAAGAAGGCCUUCGGGUUGUAAAGCACUUCCAGCGAGGAGGAAAGGUUGAUGCCUAAUACGUAUCAACUGUGACGUUACUCGCAGAAGAAGCACCGGCUAACUCCGUGCCAGCAGCCGCCGUAACAC
rnacentral:rRNA from 1 species